AAUGAACGUUGGCGGCGUGGAUUAGGCAUGCAAGUCGAGCGAGAAUCCCCAGCAAUGGGGAGGACAGCGGCGAAAGGGAGAGUAACACGCGGGUACCUACCCUCGGAUCUGGGAUAGCCACGGGAAACUGCGGGUAAUACCAGAUGAUGUCUUCGGACCAAAGGUGUGAUUCCGUCCGAGGAGGGGCCCACGUCCUAUUAGCUAGUUGGUGGGGUAACGGCCUACCAAGGCAUUGAUGGGUACGGGGUGUGAGAGCAUGCCCCCGCUCACUGGGACUGAGACACUGCCCAGACACCUACGGGUGGCUGCAGUCGAGGAUCUUCGGCAAUGGGCGCAAGCCUGACCGAGCGACGCCGCGUGCGGGAUGAAGGCCUUCGGGUUGUAAACCGCUGUCAGAGGGGAGGAAAUGCCGGGAAGUAAUCAAUAAUCAACCCGGUUUGACCUAUCCUCAGAGGAAGUACGGGCUAAGUUCGUGCCAGCCGCCGCAGUAAUAC
rnacentral:rRNA from 1 species